rnacentral:rRNA from 1 species
ACAUCCAGAGAAUUUAGCAGAGAUGCUUUAGUGCCUUCGGGGAACUCUGAGACAGGUGCUGCAUGGCUGUCGUCAGCUCGUGUUGUGAAAUGUUGGGUUAAGUCCCGCAACGAGCGCAACCCUUAUCCUUUGUUGCCAGCACGUAAUGGUGGGAACUCAGAGGAGACUGCCGGUGAUAAACCGGAGGAAGGUGGGGAUGACGUCAAGUCAUCAUGGCCCUUACGAGUAGGGCUACACACGUGCUACAAUGGCGUAUACAAAGAGAAGCGACCUCGCGAGAGCAAGCGGACCUCAUAAAGUGCGUCGUAGUCCGGAUUGGAGUCUGCAACUCGACUCCAUGAAGUCGGAAUCGCUAGUAAUCGUAAAUCAGAAUGUUACGGUGAAUACGUUCCCGGGCCUUGUACACACCGCCCGUCACACCAUGGGAGUGGGUUGCAAAAGAAGUAGAUAGCUUAACCUUCGGGAGGGCGUUUACCACUUUGUGAUUCAUGACUGGGGUGAAGUCGUAACAAGGUAGGCGUAGUGCU